AGCAGCGUAGCUCAGUGGAAAGAGCACAGGCUUGGGAGCCAGAGGUCAUGGGUUCGAAUCCCUGCUCUGCCA
rnacentral:tRNA from 1 species